rnacentral:lncRNA from 1 species
CUAUACACGUUAGAUGGACCAAUUGGAGGGAUGCUACCUCCCGUGGUGCUAAGUUUUUUUUCUGUGGUGCUUAUAUUUUUCUUAAAUGAUAUAUACACCAACAGACCCCAGGACUUGUGUAGAUUUGACCAUAUGUGCCUGUGGACUAAUGAGCAUAACAAACCAACUUAGACCCCAAUAGAUUGCUUUAGACCCCUAUACCCGUCAGUUGGACCAAUUGGAGGGAAACCACCUCCCGUGGUGCUAAGUCCAUUUUUGGUGGUGCUCAAUAUAUUUUUCUUAAAUGAUAUAUACACCAAAAUACCCCAGGACUUGUGUAGAUUGGACCAUAUGUGCCUGUGGACUAAUGAGCUUAACAAACCAUCUUAGACCCCAAUAGAGUGCUUUAGACUCCUAUACAUGUUAGUUGGACCAAUUGGAGGGAAGCUACCUCCCGUGGUGCUAAGUUUUUUUUUCGGUGGUGCUUAUAUUUUUCUUUAAUUAAAAAUACCCUAAAGGAGGACCACAUGGACUUGUAGAUUGGACCCAAGGGGCAUGUGGACCAAUGAGCCUUACAAACCAACUAGGACUCACAAAGAGUGUUAUACACCCAUAUACUUGUCUGUUGGACCAGCGGGAAGGUAGCUAUCUCCUGUUGUGAAAUGUUCCCCCAUGAGGUAAAGAUUGGACCAGAGGUGUCUGUAAUUAAAAGAGCUUCACAAACCAACUUAGUUGAACUUACAACCCCAAAGAGUGUUUUAUAGUCCACUAUAUCCAUUGGUUGGACUAACGGGAGCGAAGUUACAUUAUUUUUGGUGGUGCUUGUUACUUUUUUUUUAUCGAAAUAUAUAUGUACCAUAGUAGACCUUUAUACUUAGGAUUGGAUAAAAGUGUUUGCAGGUUUAUGGGCCCUACAAAUCAACAUAGACCCCAAAAGAGUUUUGUAGACCCAUCUUCCUGUUUAUUGGACAUUGUGGUGGAAUUUAAGCUAUCACUUGUAAUGUUAAGUUUUUUUUUGGCGGUGCUGAUAUGAAUUUUUUUAAUGAUAUACCACAAUUGGCCUCUGGAAUGGACAACACAAGUUUGGACCCAAGCCCUGGAUGUAAGACCUUAAGACAGAAGCUUCCUCCUCUGGUGCUUAGUUCAUUUUAGGUGGUGCUUUAAAUUCAACAACAUUUUCAAUGACAAAAC